rnacentral:rRNA from 1 species
UACAGAGGUCCCAAGCGUUGUUCGGAUUUACUGGGCGUAAAGAGCGCGCAGGCGGCUGGGCAAGUCCGAUGUGAAAGCUUCCGGCUUAACUGGAAAAUUGCAUCGGAAACUGCUCGGCUUGAAGGUGGGAGAGGGUAGCGGAAUUCCCGGUGUAGUGGUGAAAUGCGUAGAUAUCGGGAGGAACACCAGUGGCGAAGGCGGCUACCUGGCCCACUCUUGACGCUGAGGCGCGAAAGCUAGGGGAGCAAACGGG